rnacentral:misc_RNA from 1 species
GAUGAAGAACGUAGCGAAAUGCGAUACGUAGUGUGAAUUGCAGAAUUCAGUGAAUCAUCGAAUCUUUGAACGCACAUUGCGCCCUCUGGUAUUCCGGGGGGCAUGCCUGUUCGAGCGUCAUUAUAACCACUCAAGCUCUCGCUUGGUAUUGGGGUUCGCGGUUCCGCGGCCCCUAAAAUCAGUGGCGGUGCCUGUCGGCUCUACGCGUAGUAAUACUCCUCGCGAUUGAGUCCGGUAGGUCUACUUGCCAGCAACCCCCAAUUUUUACAGGUUGACCUCGGAUCAGGUAGGGAUACCCGCUGAACUUAAGCAUAUCAAUAAGCGGAGGA